rnacentral:rRNA from 1 species
AUGCCCGGAGAUCUUAGCCAGUGGAUAAUGAAGCAUUACGACCCGGAGAUUUCGCAGAUAGUCAUUCCAGAAAGGGGGAAGAUUCCUGUAGAUGCCGCAAGUGUCCGUAGGAUAUGGGGUUUGCCCAACAGGGGCAGGAAGGUGUGCUUCGAGAAUCGGCCUGAAAUCACAAAGGCAAUGUACAAUAUUUACAACAUCACAUCCAAGAACUCCCCAACCCUCACAGAAUGGUGCAAGAUGAUCAUAGACAUGGGAGGAUCUUAUGAUGAUGACUUUGUCUGCGCUUGGCUAGCUCUUGUUUUUUCAUGCUUCCUUGCCCCUUCAACUAGUUUGAGUAUUUCCCCAAAGAGCUUCCCGGCGGUCAUGGAUGUCAAUGGAAUAACGUAA